CCAUGCAUCUUAUGAUUAUGAAAGCCAUUUUAUCAUUAUGGGCCUGCUAUAGUUGAAUGGGGGGAGAUUUAGGUAUCUCCACGCACUAGCCAUCUGGUGAGACUUGGUUGACUAAGGCAAAGGAUUUAUGGAAAGCUCAUGACAAUUAGUUUUGAUUGGUCAGUUCUGCCACAUCGGUAUGGUUGGCUCCAAUAUAUAUCGCUUGUCCCCCAUUUUUUAGGUUAUUUGUUAGCUCAA
rnacentral:lncRNA from 1 species